AUUGAACCCAGUGCCUCACACAUGCGAGGCAAGUGCCCAAACAUUGAGCUUACAUUCCUAGCCCUUGAAGUAAUCUUUUGCUCUUAUCUCUUUGUUGGAGUGAUCAAUUGUUUCUGUAUUUGUUCUCUUAUAUCAUACUUUGCUUUGCAGAUCAUUUUAAUUAUGUACGUUUUGAACUCCUUCUCUGACAUGUCACCUACAGUGCUGUCAAUAUAGUCCAUUAUUGUAGCAUCUUGGUUUGUUUGGGGCACUUUCUUUCCUUAUUUUUUCUUGGUGUCCAUGUGCCAUCCUCUCCAGCAGUGCGAAUCAAAGGUAUUAUACAUUCUAUCCUAUAAUCUUGUGGUGUACCUGCAGGUUACCAAUACCUUUCCUUUAAGGGGGAGAUAAAUAUUUACGCCACCCAAUUCAAACAAUAUGCAGCUUUAAACCAAAUAACUCCUAUUUGGACAAUUAUAGUUUUGUUGUAAUAAACAGAAAUGUAUUUGAUUAAUAUUUACAAUAUAAAUCAUAGGUUUGCAUAAGAGUCUACAGAUUUUUUAAUAUUUAUUGUUUAGUUUUCGGUGGACACAACAUCUUUAUUUUAUUUGUAUGUGGUGCUGAGGAUCGAACCCAGCACCACGUACAUGCCAGGUGAGCGCGCUACCACUUGAGCCACAUUCCCAGCCCUUAAUCUAUAGUUUUUAAUGGUGGACAAAGAGAGCAGGGGGUGUAGGAUGUGAGGUUUAUGAGGUAGGAGUGAGAUUACAGAGGUAUUAGAUCAUACGAAGAGUAAAAGAGGAAUCAUGAGAAGUAGGCUAACAGGGAUACCUUUCUUGCAAUCAAGCCUGCAGCAUCCUUGGUGAUAGUGUACCAGGUCCUCGCAGUUGUCUCCAGAUAAAAACAGCCAUGUUCCUAGUUGGUGGCAGUAGAAGCAUCUAAUCUGUUGAUAUGUUGGUGUUAGGCUUCCAGGCCCUACCUGGUGUCCUAAGUUGGAAGCUGCCCCAAGUAAAGAUGGUGGUUGUGUUGGUGGAGGUGUCCCAAGAUGGAGGUGACCACUUUCAGAGAUGGGGCUGAGAGGGCAAGCCAUGCUGUGGAAUUGGGAAACCUGUUCAGAGAUGCAAAGCCGUGGUGUACAGUGCUGCAGUGGGCUGCUACCUCCAGGCCCAAGGUGGAGGACAAUAUGUGUGGAGGGGCUUUUGAGAGGCCUGCAGUGUCCCAAGAUGGAAGUGGGUUAGGGGAGCCAUUCAUUGGGAGAUGGGAUACUGCAGCAAGUUGCUCUCCUCUGUGUGGGUGCAGUUGUUCGUAAGAUUUCCAUCUUGAAGCCACUAUCAUGUUUGCUUUCCUAACCAAAUGAAAAUUUAAUGGUUACUUUAGCAAAUCUUGGGGGCCAUAAGGAAGUGUGGACUAUGUUUGCCUGAGAUAGGAAUUUGGAAUACAAAGAAGAUAUGCUGAGUCUCAAAGUAGAAGGCUCAUAAAUCACUACAGUAUAGGAAAUGCCAAAAAAAAAAAAAAAAAUGACAUUAAAAACAAGCAACUCCUAAACAAUCCAGAAUUCUUGGUAGGCCAGAAUUCUGGCUCACAAAAUACUAACCUGAUAACCAGUCUAUAAGAAACCCAUGGAAAAACUAGUGUAAAAUCAUGUAUUUCUGCUCCAACUGUACCUUUGAUCCAGCCCCACCCCACCAUGUCCCACUAUGAAUAACACACCAAAACAGUGGUUUGCUCUAUCUCCCUUGAAGAUGUUUCACAUUUUCCUUAAAUGUGUACCCGCUCUCCUAAAUAGAUAUGACCAUAUCUCUGAUUGACAAAUGCUGGAAGUCUGUUCUGCCAUGCACACUAAAGUUCCCACUUUUUCCUAGUUGAUCUCCCUCUCUCCCUCUCUCUCCCUCCCUCCCUCUCUCCCUCUCUCCCUCUCUCUCCCUCCCUCCCUCCUUCCCCCUUUUCUUUCUUUCUCCCUCCCUUUCAGGCAUCUCCAUUAUAUUACCUCAUAUAGCAAGAUUUAGAUUUUUAACACUAGAAUUGUGGGGGUUUUUAAUAGUUUGGGGUCUGACAUCACAUAUAUCAACAGGGGGAGAAAACCAGCAGCUAUGGGAAUUAAAAAAAAAAAAAAAACCUGGCAAGGGACCAGAUUUGAUGGCACAUGCCUGUAAGUUCAAGUAUUUGGAAGGCUAAUUAUGACUAAUUUCAAGUUUGAGGACAGUCUUGACAUCUUAGCAAAACACUGCCUCGAAAUUGAAAAAUAAAAAUGGCUGGAUAGAGAAAUGAAUAAAUAAAUAAAUGAUAAGGUUGAGCCUCAUCUUGGAGAAAGACCUGAAUCUCUAAACUACAAGAAUAACCCAUGGGAAAUAAUUAAAGAUUUUCAGAAGGAGAAUGAUAUUUUGGACAUAAUUACAAAAUCACUCACACAAUUAAAAAAAAAAAAUUACAUAAACCAAAAAGCUGAUGCACAACAAAAGAAAAAGCCCAGAGGGGAGAGAAAGAGUAUAAAAGAGUAUAAAACUGGAGCAAAUCUAGUCAUUCUAUGCAAGACUUAUACACAAGUUAUGUCAAGAACUUAAAAAUCUUUACACCAUAAACAAUACAAUUCAAAAGGGGGCAAAGCAUCUAAGUAGACAGGUCUCAAAAGAAGAAAUGCAAAGUUUCAGUAAAUAUACAGAAAAAAUGCUCUAUAUAAUUAGCCUUCAGGGAAAUGCCAAUCAAAAAUAUAAUUAGUUAUCAUCUCAUCCCCAUUAGAAUGAAUAAUUUGAAAAAGUAGCAGUGUGAUAUGGAGAAAAAUGAACUCUCAUGCACCUUUGUGUGCAUAUAAAUUAGUGCAGCCAGUGACUCAGAUUAUUGCUCUGGAGUCGAAUGAUCCCUAGCAUUGUGGUAAAAGCACAGAUCAAUCUGAGGGCACCUUCACUUAAGUAUAUUUGCCUAGCUGAGUUAAAUGAAAACAUCCUGGGUCUGACAGACAUAACUGGUACUCUUUGAGGGUGGAGAGUGAGGCACAUUCUUGUCCUCUGAGUCACCUAGAGGGUGAUAUGUACACACUCAACCACCCUCAGUCCCUGUGGAGUCCCAGUCAUCUGAGGUGCCAUCGUAGACUUGGCUCAAUAUUCUGUUGAGUCCUUCUUGGGAUCAGUGCCUUGAAUGUGUAAAUGGCCAACUUGGUCCCCCUCCUGCUCUGCGGAGGGUCACAGACCCUCUUUCAUCACCUUCUCUUUCCCUGCCAAGUGGUAUUGACCAAUUGUCCCCAGAGACCCUGGUUAUCUUAUUGCUGGGGUCACAAGAAUGUGGAGGGACAGGUGGGCACAAAUCUAUUCUGAGAGUUCAGCAUGGACAGUAGGCCAAUCUCCAUUUGGUCCACAAGGGGGAAAGGGGGAAUGGGGAUAGUAGAGCUUGCGUAGACUAGAGCAGAGGCCUAGGGGAGCUCUGCUAUUCUUUCCCCCACUGAAGUACAUUAUGAUUCCUUAAGUUAUAUAGCCAUUGUGAAUAGAACUACUGUAUGUAAUUGCAUGCUAUUAUCAAGAUAUGUGUUUUCAAGGCAGUUGUUUUUAUUUUUAGGAUCAUGUGGUGACACUAUGUGUAACACUGGGAGGGAAAAACAAGGCCAGCUUUUUUAUAGUGAAUUGUAUGCACUCCUCCAGCAAUGCAUGAGAGUGCCUGUGGCUGCUCAUCCUCCUCAUGGUGGAUAUUGCUCUUAAGAAAAGACCAUAGCAGCUUAGUAGGUGUGCAGUGCAUCUCUCACGGUUUUAGUUUGUGC
rnacentral:lncRNA from 1 species